AUCGAUGAAGAACGCAGCGAAAUGCGAUAAGUAAUGUGAAUUGCAGAAUUCAGUGAAUCAUCGAAUCUUUGAACGCACCUUGCGCUCCUUGGUAUUCCGAGGAGCAUGCCUGUUUGAGUGUCAUUAAUAUAUAUAUCAACCCACUCUUUGUUGAGUGGUUUGGAUGUGGGGGUUUGCUGGCCUCUUUAAUGGUUCAGCUCCCCUGAAAUGCAUUAGCAGAACAACCCUGUUCAUUGGUGUGAUAACUAUCUACGCUAUUGAAUGUGAAGGGAAGUUCAGCUUUCUAACUGUCUUUGGACAAUUCAUCAUUAAUGUGACCUCAAAUCAGGUAGGACUACCCGCUGAACUUAAGCAUAUCAAUAAGCGGAGGAAAAGAAACUAACAAGGAUUCCCCUAGUAACUGCGAGUGAAGCGGGAAAAGCUCAAAUUUAAAAUCUGGCGGUCUUUUGGCUGUCCGAGUUGUAAUCUAGAGAAGUGUUAUCCGCGCUGGACCGUGUACAAGUCUCCUGGAAUGGAGCAUCAUAGAGGGUGAGAAUCCCGUCUUUGACAUGGACUGCCAGGGCUUUGUGAUGCGCUCUCAAAGAGUCGAGUUGUUUGGGAAUGCAGCUCAAAAUGGGUGGUAAAUUCCAUCUAAAGCUAAAUAUUGGCGAGAGACCGAUAGCGAACAAGUACCGUGAGGGAAAGAUGAAAAGAACUUUGGAAAGAGAGUUAAACAGUACGUGAAAUUGCUGAAAGGGAAACGCUUGAAGUCAGUUAUGUCGUCCAGGGAUCAACCUUGCUUUUGCUUGGUGCACUUUCUGGUUUGACAGGUCAGCAUCAAUUUUGACUAUUGGAAAAAGGCUUAGGGAAUGUGGCAUCUUUGGAUGUGUUAUAGCCCUUGGUCAUAUACAAUGGUUGGGAUUGAGGAACUCAGCACGCCGCAAGGCCGGGUUUUUAACCACGUACGUGCUUAGGAUGCUGGCAAUAUGGCUUUAAUCGACCCGUCUUGAAACACGG
rnacentral:rRNA from 1 species